UGCUUUUCCCAGAUGGGACGUUUUUAUGUCUAUUAGGAGAAGAGGAACUGCAACACAUCCAGGAGUUUGCCAACAAACAAACGGAUGCAAUUAAACACACUUGCCUUCAGAUCAUCAAGAGGAGGCAAAGUCAAGACUGGUGGAAACUCCAACAAGGACAAAUGUGAGCUGGAAGACGACUCGGCCUCCUCAAGGUUAAACUUGAACUUGGUUAAGAGCCCGACUUUGCGCAACCCAGAUCCUGCUUUCUUCUUCCACACUCUCUGUUUUUGAAUUAAACAUCCAUUUUACCACCCUGUAAUAACUCUUGGUUGAUGUUAUAUUUCCAAUGCAUUUGCUUAAAAAGUGUUUCUUCUGUAUCCGUGUGUGGAAAAGUGAUUAAAAGUCUUUAUUGGCAAAUUA